GCUUUCCUGUGGCUCAGUUGGUAGAGCGUUGCGUCAAAAUGCAAUGGUUGUGGAUUCAAAUCUCAGGGAAAGCA